CGCAGCCGCGGUAAUUCCAGCUCCAAUAGCGUAUAUUAAAGUUGUUGCAGUUAAAAGCUCGUAGUUGAAUUUCGGGAUUAAUAUGUUGGUCGUGCCUUGGUACGUACUGGCAUUAUUGAUUCCUACCUUCUGAAGAACCUCGAUGUCAUUAAUUUGGUGUCUUGGGGAAUCAGGACCGUUACUUUGAAAAAAUUAGAGUGUUUAAAGCAGGCUCGCGCUUGAAUACAUUAGCAUGGAAUAAUGAAAUAGGACGUUUGAUUCUAUUUUGUUGGUUUCUAGGAUCGACGUAAUGAUUAAUAGGGAUAGUUGGGGGCAUUAGUAUUCAAUUGUCAGAGGUGAAAUUCUUGGAUUUAUUGAAGACUGACUACUGCGAAAGCAUUUGCCAAGGAUGUUUUCAUUAAUCAAGAACGAAAGUUAGGGGAUCGAAGACGAUCAGAUACCGUCGUAGUCUUAACCAUAAACUAUGCCGACUAGGGAUCGGAUGAUGUUAAUUUUUUAAUGACUCAUUCGGCGCCUUACG
rnacentral:sRNA from 1 species